UGGGGAAUCUUGCACAAUGGGGGAAACCCUGAUGCAGCGACGCCGCGUGAGCGAUGAAGGUUUUCGAAUCGUAAAGCUCUGUCCUAUGGGAAGAUAAUGACGGUACCAUAGGAGGAAGCCCCGGCUAACUACGUGCCAGCAGCCGCGGUACUACGUAGGGGGCGAGCGUUGUCCGGAAUUACUGGGCGUAAAGGGUUCGCAGGCGGCAUGACAAGUCCGAUGUAAAAGGCGAAAGCUCAACUUUCGUAAGCAUCGGAAACUGUCAAGCUUGAGUGAAGGAGAGGCAAGUGGAAUUCCUAGUGUAGCGGUGGAAUGCGUAGAUAUUAGGAGGAAUACCGGUGGCGAAGGCGACUUGCUGGACUUCAACUGACGCUGAGGAACGAAAGCGUGGGUAGCAAACAGG
rnacentral:rRNA from 1 species